UAUAUUCUGGUGUAAAGAGCACAUAAAGUUUUGAUCUUUAAAGGAAUGGUGUCAAUUCCAUUGAGUAUAA
rnacentral:tRNA from 1 species